rnacentral:rRNA from 1 species
GACGAACGCUGGCGGCGUGCCUAAUACAUACAAGUCGAGCGAGACUCUUCGGAGUCUAGCGGCGGACGGGUGAGUAACACGUGGGCAACCUGCCUGUAAGACUGGGAUAACACCGGGAAACCGGUGCUAAUACCGGAUAAUCCUUUUCCUCUCAUGAGGAAAAGCUGAAAGUCGGUUUCGGCUGACACUUACAGAUGGGCCCGCGGCGCAUUAGCUAGUUGGUGAGGUAACGGCUCACCAAGGCGACGAUGCGUAGCCGACCUGAGAGGGUGAUCGGCCACACUGGGACUGAGACACGGCCCAGACUCCUACGGGAGGCAGCAGUAGGGAAUCUUCCACAAUGGACGAAAGUCUGAUGGAGCAACGCCGCGUGAGCGAUGAAGGCCUUCGGGUCGUAAAGCUCUGUUGUUAGGGAAGAACAAGUACCGGAGUAACUGCCGGUACCUUGACGGUACCUAACCAGAAAGCCACGGCUAACUACGUGCCAGCCGCCGCAGUAAGAC